CCUACGGGUGACAGCAGUGGGGAAUAUUGCACAAUGGGGGAAACCCUGAUGCAGCGAAGCCGCGUGAGUGAAGAAGUAAUUCGGUAUGUAAAGCUCUAUCAGCAGGGAAGAAAAUGACGGUACCUGAGUAAGAAGCCCCGGCUAACUACGUGCCAGCAGCCGCGGUAAUACGUAGGGGGCAUGCGUUAUCCGGAUUUACUGGGCGUACAGGGAGCGUAGACGGCAGUGCAAGUCUGGAGUGAAAGGCGGGGGCUCAACCCCCGGACUGCUCUGGAAACUGUACGGCUGGAGUGCAGGAGCGGUAAGUGGAAUUCCUAGUGUAGCGGUGAAAUGCGUAGAUAUUAGGAGGAACACCAGUGGCGAAGGCGGCUUACUGGACUGUAACUGACGUUGAGGCUCGAAAGCGUGGGGAGCAAACAGGAUUAGAUACCCCAGUAGUC
rnacentral:rRNA from 1 species